rnacentral:lncRNA from 1 species
CCCUGCCAAUCCCCAGCCCUGCAUCAACCCAACUGUUAACUUUCUCAGCUCCCGCUUCCAGGCAGCUGAGCAUGGGCAGAGAAAAAUCACAUAACUCCAUUUACUGGCACUCUGACAAAUCUAUGUUCUCCAGUAUCAGCUGGGCCCUCUGUGCUACUGGCGGUCCUUUUAUUUCUCCCCAGUCAGCUCAGUUUCAGAUUUCCCUUACAGCUGUUCCAAACUAUUAACAUGCUUUACAAUCCCCUCAUUCUAAGCAGAUGACCUUGCUCAUUUAUCACAAACAAAAUAGAGCUCCUCUUCUUCCCCUCCAUCAGCAAACUGACCCAUGAGGACACCUAGCUUUUCCCUCCCUUUUUUGCAAGUCAAAGAAGAGUAAUCUCUUCAAAUCCCUGAAGUUAUAGAAUAUUGGACACCAUCUCCUCAGGCAUCUUCAGGGACCUCAUUACAUCAGGCAUGUCCCCUCACACUUUGGCGUCUUUAAUCUAUCACUCUCUGAACUCUGCCUUCUACAUUUCAGUCUACACAUUGGCUCAGCUUUUUCCUUGUCACCAUGUGUGAGCAUGCAUGUGUGCAAACACACACACACACAGAAGCACAAUUCUUUAAUCAUUUCAGCCUCUCACUCAUGCUGCAAAUUGUCUUGUAUAGUAAUUAUCUGUUUACAUGGCAGUUUUCAAUUGGUCCAGUGGUUUUUAAUCGUUGUCAUGUCACAGAUCCCUUGAAAAUCUGAUUAAAGAAAUGGAUCUUCUCCCCAGAGACACGCACAUACCGACACAGACACACACACACACAAAUGUACAUACAAUUCCAGGUUGCUCACAGACCCCCUCUAGGAGAUGUUACUGUCGCUCAUUCGUAUUUCCGGUUCUACUCCUCUUCCGGGCACACUGGAGAAUUACACUUCCUUGCUGACUUGAGAUAAGUCACAGCUUUGGCCAAUGAAGUGUGAAUGGAAGUUUUCAGAACCUUUAAGAGCCUGUACGCAAUUUGCCAUGCUUUCUCUUUUUGCUUUGUCACCAAAACCUCUGCGUUCCAGAUAGUGACUACUCUGUCUGCGUGGGUCCUGGAGAGAGGAGGAUGCAGAGCACAGCACUUAGCCAACCUGCAAUGGACACGUAGAAUCCUCCUUACUGUCUUGUGUUCAAUGCUGAAGACCUGGUGUCCAUGCCUAACAUAACCUGAAGGUGCCUCUUGAAUGGAUCACAUUUGGCUUUCCUUAUGUCCUUGCUCACUAUCAUGGCUACCACGAGAGCCAAGGCAACCCACAGAGAUGGACUUGAAGUGAGAAAUCUACUCUGACCUUUGCCAGAACAUCCAGCUCAGAUUUUGGCCUAGGAAAAACGAAUUCCUUAUUUAUUAACGCCACUGUUGGAUUGUGGCUGGCAAGAUGACUGAAUAGGAACAGCUCCG